rnacentral:tRNA from 2 species
GCCGCCGUGGCGUAGACUUUAGGAGACGUAACCUGGUAGCGCGCUGGCCUGUGGAGCCAGUUGGCAGGGUUCAAAUCCCUGCGGCGGCC